AAAUGAACUGGAAAAGGUGUGAAUCUAAGAACAGUGACCUAGAUUUGAUGCAGGUAAAGUGGAACUGUCAAUGAUCAUGACAAAAAGGCAUGACAGAACAUUCAAUCUGCAUUGAGGGCAAAUAGCUGUAAUACAGAAACAGCUGUGGAUGAAGAUUUGUCCGCAACCUGUAGCAGAAGGCACAGUCAUUAAUGACUGUAAGAAGACAUCUCUGACAAUGCAUUCACAGCUGUGCUCAUGCCAGCUGCUGAAAGAACAACACUCAAUACUGAAUGUACAGGGUAUUUUUGUAUUACUAACAGAGAACCUGAACAUCCAGGCAGCAUGUAUAAGAUAGAUAAAAUUAUGGUAGUAAGUAUGCUUAUGAAGAUGUGCUGAUAAAUAGGCAUCAGGGUGCCUCAGCUAGUUGCAAAGUCACAGGAAUUAUGUCAACCAUACUAAAAUUAAAUUUGCAUUCAAAAAAAUGCAGAUAAUUUUUCAUUGUGCAAUAUAAUAACCAAGAAGCAACACAAAAACAAAACAAGUUUCCAUGAUUCUAUAUGUGCAUUCUGAUGCUGAGCCCUGAGAGUCUUAGGAAUGCUUCAAAUGUUAGAAAAAUCUUGUCAUCUACAAAAGGCUUCACUGUUCACAGUCUGUGCAGUACAAAUAUAUCCUGCUCUUUUCAUCACCUUGGUUUCCCCAUCCAGAACAAUCUACUGCCCUUCUAUUACCCACACUUUUCCUUUCAAAAGAUGGGUUGGAGACAAUUCAGUUUGUAAAUCCACUUUAAACUAUGGGUCAAAUGAUGCUUGGAGGUUAGUACUAAUUUGCCUAAUUUUGAUGGCAAACUGUGGUUAGAGGAAGCUCUAAAACAGAAAAGGGAAUCAUAACUCUUUUGGGGUGGUGUGGUGAAGGAUUGGAAUGUGAUUUCUGAACCAUGAACCUGGCCACUUCAUUAUUGAGGAGUCCACAUGUAUAAAUGUUCACAGAAUUAUACAAAAUAAAUAUUUUCCGUAAGUUUUUCUGGUUUCCAUAAUAUUUUACAACAUCAAUUUCUACUUUACAGUAUGAAAACAGCUUUGCCUAUGGGAUGAAUAGCUUCUGCAUUAAGGACAGCUGCUUGUAACUGGAUUAUGACUUCACAGCUGUAAUGUACAGGAAAAAGGAAAUCUUUACUGAAGCUCAAGAGUGACAUAGCAACUUCUGAGGAACAUGUAAGACUUGUCCACUAAACUAAAACUUGUACAGGCUUAAAAUUUCAAAGAUGAUGAUGAAGUCUUCAAAUGAUACCUUUAUAGGUCAAAGUCAUAAGAAAUCAAAACUCAAGGCAGAUGUUCAAGCAGAAACAGCUAUUAUGAAAUACAGUAGAUAUUCAGGCACAGUUUUGAGUUGCAUAAGUGUAAGGACCAAAACUAGACAUGACAUUUAGUGAUGUGCAUCUUUCUCUAUUUGUCUUAAAAAUAAGAUAAAAUUCAGCACUAGGAGGUUGAGAAUUGAAAGCAGAGAGGAAGGGGCGGCUUGUCAUUCCCCUGUCUGGCUCAGCCUUUCCUACAAGUUGAAAGAACAGCUGGAAGGGAGUGAUUUUUUGGGUGGGAAAGCAGCCAGCAGAGAAGGUUUACAUAGGGCUGUUCCCUGCUAUUCUGCUGGUUAAACUUGUAGCCACCCAAGGCUGUUUAUAGCUUAAAAACUAAAUGCUUAAGGAACAAAUACAAUUGCAAAUUAUGUCAAUUCUGGUGAUGAGUACAGAUGGCUUUCAGACUUGGGUAUACUAUAAAAACACAGAAGUUGAAGAGAAAGGAAGGGAAACAAUAAAGGCAACAUGGCACAUG